rnacentral:misc_RNA from 1 species
ACCAGAUAUUCAUUGCUAGAGAGACUGUCAGUGUGCCAUGGUUAUUGCUGUCCAGCUGCCUGGUGUUUGAUGUAGGACGUGCUCACUGAACUCUGUUGCACUUCAUCACAACACCGACUUAAUUGCCAGAGCAAAUCAUGUACAGUAUGCAUUAUUAAAGACGUAUGUAUAAUUUACAGCAUAUUUCAUUGAUAAUGUCCACAAGGACCAAAGCAUGCAUGCAAAUACGUACACUACUGGUACAAUCUCUGAGCCCAUGCUCCCUUCUUCACAAAUACUGGUACAUCUCCUGCAGUACAUAUACGAAUACGUAUGUCUACGGUACACGCAUACAAGUAUGUAUAUGCCCUCGCUCACUUGCCGGGGACGAAGUUGGUAGCGUAGGCCCAGGCGUUGUUGUUGACAGGGUCAGCGAGGUGGUCGGCGAGGUUCUCAACGGGACCCUUGCCGGUGACGAUGGCCUGCACGAAGAAGCCGAACAUGGAGAACAUGGCGAGGCGGCCGUUCUUGAUCUCCUUGACCUUGAGCUCCGCGAACGCCUCCGGGUCGUCGGCGAGCCCGAGCGGGUCGAAGCUGCCGCCGGGGUACAGCGGGUCGACCACCUCCCCGAGCGGGCCACCGGCGAUGCGGUACCCCUCGACGGCGCCCAUGAGCACCACCUGGCACGCCCAGAUGGCCAGGAUGCUCUGCGCGUGGAUCAGGCUCGGGUUGCCGAGGUAGUCAAGCCCGCCCUCGCUGAAGAUCUGGGACCCGGCCUUGAACCACACGGCCUCGCCGAACUUGACGCCGUUGCGGGCGAGCAGCUCCGGGAACACGCACCCGAGCGCGCCCAGCAUGGCCCAGCGGCAGUGGAUCACCUCCAGCUCGCGGUUCUUGGCGAAAGUCUCCGGGUCGGCGGACAGCCCCGCGGUGUCCCAGCCGUAGUCGCCGGGGAACUCGCCGGUCAGGUAGCUUGGGGGCUGGCCGGACAGCGGGCCCAGGUACAGGACGCGGUCGGCCCCGUACCAGGGGCUGCCGGACGCCGCUGGCUUGGGCUUGCCAGCAGUCUUGCGCAUGGUGAUGCGCCCCUCGCCGAAGACGUCCCUGGUGCUGGUCGCCGGCUUGCCGACGAGCGCGCGGGAGGUGAGAGCCAUGGUGGCGGCGGCCAUGUCGAUCAGAUCACAGCUUUUUUCGGAUGCUUACCUCACUCUGUGCUGUGUAUGCGUGCGUGUGAUGGCUGUGCCAUUAACAGAACACAGCAGCUGCUUUUAUACAG